rnacentral:rRNA from 1 species
CCUACGGGGGGCAGCAGUGGGGAAUAUUGGACAAUGGGGGCAACCCUGAUCCAGCCAUGCCGCGUGUGUGAAGAAGGCCCUCGGGUUGUAAAGCACUUUCAGUGAGGAAGAACGCCUGGUGGUUAAUACCCAUCAGGAAAGACAUCACUCACAGAAGAAGCACCGGCUAACUCCGUGCCAGCAGCCGCGGUAAUACGGAGGGUGCGAGCGUUAAUCGGAAUUACUAGGCGUAAAGCGCGCGUAGGUGGCUUGAUAAGCCGGUUGUGAAAGCCCCGGGCUCAACCUGGGAACGGCAUCCGGAACUGUCAAGCUAGAGUGCAGGAGAGGAAGGUAGAAUUCCCGGUGUAGCGGUGAAAUGCGUAGAGAUCGGGAGGAAUACCAGUGGCGAAGGCGGCCUUCUGGACUGACACUGACACUGAGGUGCGAAAGCGUGGGUAGCAAACAGGAUUAGAUACCCUUGUAGUC